CAUUUUCACAUGCUAGGGCUUCUAGUGUGUGUGUGUGUGUGUGUGUGUAUUUAGGGUUGUUUCCUGCAAAUUAACCUUUUAACAUUGAUGACGUGAAUUGCACGUCGGAGAUGUUCAAUUUUUUACUUCUAGAGCUGAGAUUAGUGUUGAUUUUUCUUCUUUUUCCGCCUUAGUUUUAUUUUCGUUGUUUAAUUAAUAUGCAUUUGGUAUGAAUCCUCCAGUAUUUGGAGGAGUGCUCACCCAAAUUCAUUGUUUUUUGCCCCUAUUUUAAAGAAAUUUUCUCCUUGUUUUUCUCAUAAAAUAAACAUUGAUGACAUGAAUAUUUAGUCUACGACCAUGUACAUUUACUAAUUAAAGGAAAGGACUGCUAACUACUAGUACCUUCCACUAUGAGUAAGUGGAAAGUGGCAAUGUGAUGGGUAGGGAAAGAGGAGUAUAUGCUUUUGGUAACCAAAUGAUUGUUAGUUGCCCUACUUACACAGACUAUGACAUUCAUUUCCACAUUAAUAAAAAUGAGCUACCAACUCGUAUGUCUUCAAAUAUUUUGUGCAAACCAAACGCACAAAGCAAUCAGUGCAAUCAGUGAACAAAAAGUUGUGAUGGGUGGUCCUAUGCUUUCAUUGUAGAAUCAAAACGUGUCCAAGGCACAGUUAGGGAAAUUGUUUUAUGAUGCCUGAUUCAUUAAUUGAAUGCACAUUGCAUGAUUGUAGUGUCAAAAUGUGUCCAAGGUACAGGUUGGGAAGUUGUUUUGUUAUAGUUAGUCGUUAAUUUAAUAUACAAUUGCACGAUUUUGAAUUAUUUUGUUCUUAUGGCAAUGAGAACAACGUUUUAGAUAUGAUAUUCUAAUCUAAGGAAUGUUGGAGAUUAAGCUUGCUGAAGGAUCAAAGAUGGCUUGGAUUUCAAGUUUUCUGUCAAAGUUCAAGUUUAUGUUUUUAGUUAUAGCUAGAAGCCUAGAACAAUCGGUCACAAUGUAUGACUGAGAUUAAAACAUCUUAACUGCUUGUUUUGUGCCACCUGUUAUUUUCUGCUAAGAGUUUUAGUGGUGCAUGUGCCUCUCACAUGGGGUACGUUAGUCACUCGGCACGUGUGUAUCACGUGUAGCCUAACGGCUAGAUUCUUCUUUGUAUUCCCUCACACUUCUUGUGUGAAUGGGUAGAGGAUUGUGUGUGUGCAAGCAUUGAGAAAGCAACGUACUCUCUGCAGCAUAUCUCCAUUGCUCUCAACAUUCAUUCUUUUCUAGUCGAAUCCAAUUUUCACCAAAAUAACCAUUUUAAAGUAAAAUCAACAAGGAAUUAGUAUAUUCCUGACCACAUUUGUCUCUCGCCACGACCCUUUAGGACCCUAGGAGGUAGAUUCUCUGCCGUCCCUUCCCAUGCCCUCGCGUGCCCUCCUGUUUU
rnacentral:lncRNA from 1 species